ensembl:miRNA
GCUGUUUUGCCGUGGAUGAACAAAACUCUUCUGGUCCGCUGUUUAGUUCAAUUAGCGCUUCAGAGGCGGAACAGUAGGUUUCUGUUCUUCCAGCCAAGAUUCUGU